GGUUUGAGCUCCAUGAAGAGGUGAGCUGAGUGGGCUGCUUUAAGAAAAGCAGCAUACGUUCUAUCAAGAAAUAAGGACUUCCCGUGUUUUCUUCAGUGUUCCUGUGCUGCAGCUGUCAUCCAGGCUGGGAUGGUUGGAGUUCCCUCUGCACGCAUCUGACAUAGUGGCAUCUCAAAGGCUGUGAGCAGGUUUGGCAGGUGCCUUAGCCAAGGCAACCCCCCCAUCCAUUCUGUGGCACUAUGGAGCCAGGCUCACAACGCAGCAGAGCAGAGGGAGUUGAUGCUCUGAUGGGUGCAUGUUCACAUCCAUUGGUCAUCCCAAUACUCUACUACAGCCAGACAGCAGCAGCAUGUGCGGUCACUGACAGCUCACAAUGAAGGAAGAAACUCUUUCCAUUUGACUAACAAGCAGUAUAAGAAAGCAGGUAACUUCAGUUAAUAUCCAUAACAGAGUGACUGUGAGAGAUGUGGAUGUUUCCUUCUUACAACCACUCAAUUUUGAUUUUAACAGUUCUGUAUUGCUGUGAUUCACACUGCCUUGCAUUUAACAGGCAAUAAUUUCUGCUUUGUGGUACAUUACUUAUCACAUCUAUCAGGGUAAUCACACAAACUGGUGGCUCUGUAUAAGCCUGUUCCCACCCUAGGGCGAUAUGGCUAUUGGUAUCUGUCUCCUUAAUAUCAUCAUUUCUAUUAAUACAAACAACAAUCUUCCCAAAAGCAGAUAAUCCCCAUCAAUGCAGCAACAAGACAUUUUUCCAACUGCUUCAGUGAAUUAUCAUAGUACAAGAAUGCUGUGGUUGCUGGAAAAUGAAUCUCCAAAGGAUCUCAGGAGGGAGGUCAGUUUUUCCACCUCCCUGCUCUGAGACAUGAUCAAAAGCUUCUAAGGAUGUUUUCAUCAAACAUAAAGAAAUUCUUUAGUACCACCACUAAAAAUGAUUUCACAGCCACACAUUAGAAUGUCUCAGGUUGUU